rnacentral:tRNA from 1 species
UCCCCAGUGGCGCAACUGGUUAGCGCGCGGCACUUAUAAUGCCGAGGUUGUGAGUUCGAUCCUCACCUGGGGGAA